AAUAGAUACCCUGGUAGUCCUUGCCGUAAACUAUGUAUACUUGGUGUAACUGGACUCAACCCCGGUUGUGCCGUAGCUAACGCGUUAAGUAUACCGCCUGGGGAGUACAGUCGCAAGGCUGAAACUCAAAAGAAUUGACGGGGACCCGCACAAGCAGUGGAGCAUGUGGUUUAAUUCGAUGCAACGCGAAGAACCUUACCCAGACUUGACAUGCAGUGGACAGUCCUAGAAAUAGGAUCUCCCUUCGGGGCCGCUGCACAGGUGCUGCAUGGCUGUCGUCAGCUCGUGCCGUGAGGUGUUGGGUUAAGUCCCGCAACGAGCGCAACCCUUAUCAUUAGUUGCCAACACGUAAAGGUGGGAACUCUAGUGAGACUGCCUGGGUUAACCAGGAGGAAGGUGAGGAUGACGUCAAGUCCGCAUGGCCCUUAUGUCUGGGGCUACACACGUGCUACAAUGGUCGGUACAAAAGGCAGCAGAACCGUGAGGUGAAGCAAAUCCCGAAAGCCGGCCCAGUUCAGA
rnacentral:rRNA from 1 species